rnacentral:lncRNA from 10 species
CGAAGAUUACUCUUGGAAAGGAAUGCCUACUCGCAUUUUGAAUUAAGAAACCGGAAAACCUUCCCUUCGGUCCUGGCGUAGCGCCUCCUGUGUCCGGAGUAGAUCUUGUAUCCGCUGAAACUGCACAGCUCGACUUUCAUGGUGGCGGCUCCACGGGAGGAGAAAAAAGAUGCAACUUGAACUAAGACAACUCUAGUAUUUCCAGUC